GACGAACGCUGGCGGCGUGCUUAACACAUGCAAGUCGAACGGUGAAGCGCCUUCCUUUUUGGUGGGUGUGGAUGAGUGGCGAACGGGUGAGUAACACGUGAGUAACCUGCCCCCUUCUUCUGGAUAACCGCAUGAAAGUGUGGCUAAUACGGGAUAUUCUGGGUCUGUCGCAUGAUGGGUCUGGGAAAGAUAUUGUUUCGGUGGGGGAUGGGCUCGCGGCCUAUCAGCUUGUUGGUGGGGUGAUGGCCUACCAAGGCGGUGACGGGUAGCCGGCCUGAGAGGGUGGACGGUCACACUGGGACUGAGACACGGCCCAGACUCCUACGGGAGGCAGCAGUGGGGAAUAUUGCACAAUGGGCGCAAGCCUGAUGCAGCGACGCCGUGUGAGGGAUGGAGGCCUUCGGGUUGUGAACCUCUUUCGCCAGUGAAGCAGGCCUGCCUCGUUUGUGGGUGGGUUGACGGUAGCUGGAUAAGAAGCGCCGGCUAACUACGUG
rnacentral:rRNA from 1 species